rnacentral:lncRNA from 1 species
GCAGUAAUGGCGGGCGCCGGGUGCUGGAGGAGCCGCUCCCGGGGUCGGAAAGACUUCGAGAGGCACCGAUCCCGAGACCGGGGCAGGUUCUCAUCUGUCCUUUCCCAGAGAUUCAACCACUGCUCCAGCUUCUCUCCAAAACUCUUUUCCAGCGCCGCCCGAGCCUCGCUUAAGAGAGGGAGGUGGCGGCUGAAGAACCCUGAGCCUGCCUGUGGAUACCUUGAGAUGAGGAUGUGCGGGAACCAGGCCUGGCAUUCCCUCUUUUUGGACUGUGCUGCCUCUACGACCCCCACUGGGACUUGGACUUCCUGAGGGAAGGUCGAACUGACUGGCGGGCACCUUUGGAAACCUAACCUCAUCCCCUCCAGGCUGCACACAUCCUGCGGUGAUAGUGGAGAGGCAGACACCCAGAGAGUCUAAUGCGCUGGUCCGAGAACAUACAGGCAGAGUGCCUUGGGGAGGUCAUGGCAGCAGCUGGGCACUGCCCAGUGGCUGGGCUACGCUGGUUGGUUCCAGCCUCUGCCUGCGGGGGAAGGUAUAGGAAGGUACACUGUGUCUUCCGAUUCUUGGAGCCAGCUCUGCUGUCCAGACCUCCUGAAGCCAGGUGUCCAGGCACCCAGCACCUCCUGCCAAUUCAUACAGAAUUCAAUUCCCCACCUGGAAGGGCUUUCAGAAGCUGACCUGCCCAACCCCUGGAUUUCAGGCAAACUGAGAAGAUUGGAGAGGGCCAAGGAUUUGUCACUGAGCAAGGAGGAAGCCAAAGACUUAGAGGGCAGAGAAGGAUGUAAUCAAAAUCUUCGUCAUCUCCGGCUUCCGAAGCUCCCUUCCAAAGUGCCCUCAAGGGCCUGGAACACUCUCAGUGACAGAGGCAAGAGCCCCAUCUUGCCCCAGUGCUGCCCAUCAAAAUGGACCCCUAAAUCCUGGCCCAGCCUCCCAGCGCAGAUCUCUCCUUCCUCCUGUAGCCCCAACUAAUGUCUGUCUGGAAUUUGAGGGGCCCUGGUCUGGCACACUGUGGAUGCUUAGUUAAUGUAUGGUGACUGACUAAUGUGUGGCCCCAGGCCUGCCC